UACGGAGGGUGCAAGCGUUAUCCGGAUUUACUGGGUUUAAAGGGUGCGUAGGCGGGCCUUUAAGUCAGUGGUGAAAUCUCCCCGCUCAACGGGGAAACUGCCAUUGAUACUAUUGGUCUUGAAUUUAGUUGAGGUGGGCGGAAUGUGUCGUGUAGCGGUGAAAUGCUUAGAUAUGACACAGAACACCGAUUGCGAAGGCAGCUUACUAAGGAGUAACUGACGCUGAGGCACGAAAGUGUGGGGAUCAAACAGG
rnacentral:rRNA from 1 species